GUUGGACUCCAGCUGGUUUCCCGACCUAACUCGGAAAAAAGAGGCCUGCAAAAAAACUUGAAAGCUCAGCGACACAACAGCUGUGAGCUAAUGCGGGAGAGGGAAUCACCCACCCCCAGCGAGAAAGCGGCAAGACUUGGGAGCUCACAGCUCCCACUCUCAUGUCAACCUCUGCCUGGACCAGGAGGGAAUCAGAAAAAAAAGCACACCCCUUGACUACUGAAGCCUCUGGUUUAAGACCUAUGCAACUGACAACACACUGGCCUAGGUUUGGGCUCCCUUUUGAAAUACAGACAGCAGCAAGCAGUGCCUCAGAGAUAUGCCUGCUUUCUCUCCUCUGCCUUCUGCCAUGGACACAGAGAGCCCUGCAUGGCAUCACGGUACCUAACAGCCCCUCCUGCCACAGGAGA
rnacentral:lncRNA from 1 species